UACGAAGGGGGCUAGCGUUGCUCGGAAUCACUGGGCGUAAAGCGCACGUAGGCGGAUUGUUAAGUCAGGGGUGAAAUCCUGGAGCUCAACUCCAGAACUGCCUUUGAUACUGACGAUCUCGAGUCCGGGAGAGGUGAGUGGAACUGCGAGUGUAGAGGUGAAAUUCGUAGAUAUUCGCAAGAACACCAGUGGCGAAGGCGGCUCACUGGCCCGGUACUGACGCUGAGGUGCGAAAGCGUGGGGAGCAAACAGGG
rnacentral:rRNA from 1 species